AAGCUCUUCCAAGGUGAGAUCAAUCUUCUUGUGUUUUAAUUUGUUCUUGUAAUUAGACCAAGAAUCUGAAAUCUUUUUUAUUAGUAUGUUAGCUUGUAAAAUCACACACGUUGUCAUGCCCUCAGCCAGGACAUUUGCUGUCAAAUUCUCAUACAUAUGGACUUGAUCCAUAAUUGGUUGAUCUUCUUGCAUCGUGAAAUUCAACCAAUUUCCCACAACAUAUUUCUUCUUUCCUACAUCGUCUACCAUAUUUCUUUGUCAGAGUCUCCCAUAUGGUCUUUGCUGACUUGUGUUGAAUGAGAAAAUCAAAUAUGAAAUUGGAUAGAUGACUGAGAACGUGCCUUCUCAAAAUUUGCAAUUUCUUUCUCAGCAUUAGCAGCAUCGGUGGUCUUCUUGCUCGCAGCUAUUUCGCUGAUAGUAGCUGCAUUUGAAAUUAUGGCUGAAGACCCAGCUUUCGAUAACGUUGCACCUUCUGAGGGACCAACAAAGAGCACAUGGUCAAACUUCAAUUUCUCCAGGAAAAUAAGUAACUUCUGAGACUACCUCUUGAAGUUUGUGCCAUCAAGAGGUUCAAGUUUGUUGAGAUCUGCCAGCACCUUGUUUUGCA
rnacentral:lncRNA from 1 species